rnacentral:sRNA from 1 species
GCUGGGUAAGGUGACCCAUGCCUGUAAUCUCAGCUACUCAGGAGGCUGAUGCAGGAGGAUUGCCAAAUUUGGGGGCAACUUGAUGAGACCCUGUCUCAA